UGAUACAUAAUUAUUUUUGGGCCAUCUGUCCCUCUCCUAUCCACGCAAUGGGCAUAAAAUAAGAACCAAAAAAAGUUCUUAUUUAUUUAUUUGUUUGUGAUUUUAAAUCUAUCUACUGAAAUUUAUCAAUCAAACAAAGAACAUUUAUCUACUGAACUGAGCUGUAUGUGAUAAGUGGUCUAAGGUUAAUGCUUCCUUAAUUGUACAGAGCCUGUUUUUGGUGGAGAACCUGAUACCUCUCCUUUGUGUGAAUCAAAAUUGAAAAUGAAAAUUGCAAAAAAUUUCAGUAGAUUUGAGAAGCGAAAGGGGCCAUGACCGAGUUGAUUAUCGAGCUGAGUUGAACAGAAGGGCGCGCAUAAAAGUGUUGGGUGGAAAUAACUUCAUCUUCUUCAUUCCAAUCAACUGAAUCAGUCCAUAUUCGACCCGUUUCUCUGCUAGUGCAAUUCGUUUAGAAUCCGAAUCAUUUGAUUAAUCUAGUGAUUUUUUUUGUACAUUCUUUGUGACUGACAAAGACUACAUCUUCUCGUCACAUAGAAGGCCUCCUUAACAGUCGGCCAAAAAUUGAUUAAACUGAUUCACCUACUUCAUCAUUCAACUUCAAUCUCAAUUCAUUUUCAUUUUUUUUUUUAAA